GGCCCUUUGGCCCAAUGGUAAGGCGUCUGACUACGAUCACAUAUGUAAUCAGGAGAUUCUGGGUUCGAGCCCCAGGAGGGUCA